UGUGAAAAAAAAAAUCGAUAUCAAAAAUCACUUUGGCAGAACAAACAUCACAUCAGCAUUGGAAAUGUAAUCCACUACAGUCGAAGCUGUUGCUUCGUGUCCAAUCUUAUCGAUCCGACAAAUAAAUAAAAAAUGAACGAGAUUGGUUUCGUCGGAAAGAGGCACGCCAUUCUCGAUGGUACUACCAUUAAGGCUGAGAUUUCCCAUUCUCAUAAUGUAGGUGUUUUUUUUUUAUUUUUUACAAAAAUGUUAUCUAACUUAAAUCGUAUAUUUUUUUUUUUUUUUUUACUACCUGUAUGGAUCUUGGAGCUCAUCGAUCACGAAGUUAAGAAUGCCAAAGACAAUUUGCCAAUAUUAAGGGGUGCGUCUUCCAAAUAAGGAGUGAAGUAACUCAAAACGAAACCUGCAAAAAGCUCAGCCAAGCCAAGAACGAUGACGAUGAAUAACGCCAUUAAUUUAGCCACCGUGAAAACGUUCUGGACACGCAUGGCUCCCCGUACACUGGCGCAGCUAAUACCGGUCAAAAGGCCUUUGAGACAACAGGCAGCAAGGAGACGAACUGCCGUGUAAGGUACGGGACAGUCACCGAAGAUGGGUUGUAGCAUGUACGUGGCGAAAGUGAG